rnacentral:rRNA from 1 species
AUUGAACGCUGGCGGCAUGCCUUACACAUGCAAGUCGAACGGCAGCACGGGAGCAAUCCUGGUGGCGAGUGGCGAACGGGUGAGUAAAGUAUCGGAACGUGCCCAGUCGUGGGGGAUAACGUAGCGAAAGUUACGCUAAUACCGCAUACGAUCUAUGGAUGAAAGCGGGGGAUCGCAAGACCUCGCCCGAUUGGAGCGGCCGAUAUAAGAUUAGGUAGUUGGUGGGGUAAAGGCUCACCAGGCCGACGAUCUGUAGCUGGUCUGAGAGGACGACCAGCCACACUGGGACUGAGACACGGCCCAGACUCCUACGGGAUGCAGCAGUGGGGAAUUUUGGACAAUGGGCGCAAGCCUGAUCCAGCCAUGCCGCGUGCAGGAUGAAGGCCUUCGGGUUGUAAACUGCUUCUGUACGGAACGAAAAGGUUUGACUUAAUACGUUGGACUCAUGACGGUACCGUAAGAAUAAGCACCGGCUAACUACGUGCCAGCAGCCGCAGUAA